rnacentral:lncRNA from 13 species
CAGGGGGUCUGGGGGAGCGGAGGCUGGGGUGGAGAGGGAGUGAGGCUGGAGUGGGUGGGGAUGGGGGUGCCAGGGGGUCUGGGGGAGCGGAGGCUGGGGUGGAGAGGGAUUGAGGGUAGAGUGGGUGGGGAUGGGGGCCCAGAUCAAACGAGGCUUCUGCCUGGAAGAUCUCCCUUGAGCACCACAGCCAGUGCGGCCGCAGGAGGGCUCUGGGACAGGCCCUGGUAGAUGGGGGUGGGGGGCAAGCCUUGGAGGGCUGAGGGUGGGAGCUGAACAUCUGUGAUCCCCCUCCGGCUUCCCUCAGGAGCUCGUCUGACAGCCUGUGCCUCUCCCCGGACCCUGGACUCUGGCUCUGGGCUCUCCUCCAGGGCAGACCCUUAACCCAGCCCCGUCCCCUGAAGACUUUUGCCCUAGUGGGGCUGGGGGCAGAGGUCUGGUGUGGGGGUGGGGUCAGUGCUGAUGGGGCAGAAACUGGAGGGUGGGAGUCAGAGGUCAGUGUUGGGAGUUAGAGGGGGAAGGGAGGCCUCUGAAAGGAUGGGGAGGCUGGGCUGGGGCUGCCAGGGGCGGGGGUGGAAGACCUACCUUGCCUGUGGUCCGGACCCCACCAGCCUCCCAGCUCAUCCCAGAGGCCACUGUGGAUGGCCAAGGUGUCCUGGGCUCCAUCCCCGGCCCAGCGUUCAGGGCAGCCUCUGCGUCGGGCCAGGACUGUGGGGCCCCGGAGGGCGGGGUGGGAACGCCCAGCACAUCAGACUGGCUGCUUCCCUGGGAGACGGGUUUUGUGUGGAAAAAUCCUGGGAGACAAGUUGGUGCGGCGCAGAGCGGGCUGAGGAGCCCUGGAGGAGGCGGUUGUCCCUGGAGCCUGGAAUCUGCAUCUGGCCUCAGGCCGCUCUGGUGCACCGUCAGGUUGACAGCCUGGCAGCUGGGAGCCUCGAAGGGCGAGUUCAAAUCAUUCUCCUGCCUCAGCCUCCCGAGUAGCUGGGAUUACAGUCAGAGGUCACGGGUCGAUUCACUCCACAACUGAGAAAGCCACUUGAUGCUGGAAAACAAAGAAUCAGCGUGUUCCAAGCAAAAGAGUCAGAAGAGGUGACUUCAGGGGUCAGCGCCUGUUUUCGGUCUCCCAAGUUGCGAUCCGUGCUCUCUUCAUUCAUCCUUUGAAGAGAAUCAAAACAAGACAAUUGUCUGCACGUCAGAGCACCCUAGGGUAGCACAGUCUAAAGCACGACCGACAAAGGAACGUGGCCACCUCUGUGGUCUGCGAUGGCCUCACGUGGCCACCUCUGUGGUCUGCGAUAGCCUCGCACGAGAACCGUGAUCACGACGGAACACUCAGAUAUCAGGGUUUUGGAAACCGCGCGCCAUUCUGGAACACAUAUUAAUGUUACUCACUAAAAUAUAACCUGAAGAUCAAACGCCACCUUAUUUUCAUCAUUCUGUGUAACUAAACAUGUCUUAAAACACUUAAUAGGCGGCCGGGCACGGUGGCUCACGCCUGUAAUCCCAGCACUUUGGGAGGCUGAGGCAGGUGGAUCACCUGAGGUCACAAGUUUGAGACCGGCCUGGCCAACAUGGCAAAACCCCGUCUCUACUAAGAAUCUAAAAGAGUAGCUGGGGGUGGUGGCACACACCUGUAAUCCCAGAUACUCAGAAGGUGGAGGCAGAGGCUACAGUGAGCCAAGAUUGUGCCACGCCACUCCAGCCUGGGUGACAGGGCAAGACUCCAUCUCAAAAACCAAAAACAAAAACAACCCUCCCCAAAAAACAUUUAAUAGAAUUUCAGGUUAUGUAAGUCAUCCAUAUAGCCAAAAUGAUGACUCAAGUUUUUAAAAAAGCAAAAGUUUUUACUCAUUAAGAGGGCCGGGCCAGGCGCGGUGGCUCAAGCCUGUAAUCCCAGCACUUUGGGAGGCUGAGGCGGGUGGAUCAUGAGGUCAAGAGAUCGAGACCAUCCUGGUCAACAUGGUGAAACCCCGUCUCUACUAAAAAUACAAAAAAUUAGCUGGGCAUGGUGGUGCGUGCCUGUAAUCCCAGCUACUCAGGAGGCUGAGGCAGGAGAAUUGCUUGAACCCAGGAGGCGGAGGUUGUGGUGAGCCGAGAUCACGCCAUUGCACUCCAGCCUGGGUGACAAGAGCGAAACUCCGUCUCAAAAAAUAAAUAAAUAAAUAAAUAAAUAAAUAAAUAGGGA